UGGCUGAGUCACAACUCUCUUCCAGUUCAGGGGAUGUUUGUGGACAAAUCUUCCUGCUAUUUACUGAGCUCUACCAGCUGGAUUGCAAACACUCUUCAGUGGAUGAGCCAAAGCACUCCAAAGAAGGGACACCAUUGAUUUAGUUGCUGACAGCCACAGGGAUGGACUCAGAAGAACUGGAGUUGAAAACUGCUCUGGCCAUCCUGGCCUGCAGUGACUGACACCAGAUUUUAUGUGUAUGGAUCUGCCAGAAAUGUCAGGAUAGGAAUUCCUGGCUUAAGUCAACCGACCCCCGAGGAGUACGAAGGUCUGACAGGACUCUGAGACGCCAGAUGCAAACCCAAAGCUGCGGUUUUUUUCUCAGCAGAACAGAAGCGCGGUGAGGAAGCAACCCCGCGUGUCCUUGCGCAGGGCUGAGCGUUGGAGAG